rnacentral:lncRNA from 1 species
GAUUAUUUUCAUAAGUGGACCCAUUGGUCAAGUUUCCAUUUCACAAGUUUUCAGAUCACAUACAUAAUCAAAAAGAACACAUAAAUUUCAUCAAAUAUACCACUAAAUAAAUCUAUUACAAUCUUUACAACACAUAUAUGCUACAAUAUGCUACUCUUCACUAAGUAGAACUUGAUGGCUUCACACUUCACAGCUUCACACUUGCUUCACACUUCACACUUGAGCAUCUGUAAAAGAGGAACAACCACAAAUUUAAAUCUCAAUUGCAGUAUAGGCCAUAUGCAGAAGCGGUUCAAAGUUGAAACAACAUCAAUUAAACACACGCGCACAGAAACAUAGGAUUCAAAAUGCAAUGUAGGACCAGGACAAGGAAACUCCUGUUAUCAAAUCAACACACACCUUGUAGCAAAACAGCAACAGAAUACAUUAUAAUGAGAGCAUCAUGCUGGAAAGAAACAACACAGAAACAUGUGCAUAUCUCAUGUGAGCAUCAUGCUGUGGUUUUAUUAAACAAUGAUACAGCAACAGAAUACAAUAUCUUCAAUGCAAAUUAUGGUACUUGUAGCAAAACAGUUUGAAACAACAACUACACAAUACAUUAUAACGAGAGUAAGCUUGAAUCGAACAUUGACAGAUUGCUGCUAGUGCAUACUACUAUGAUUCACACUAGAGCAAAUUUUCAGAAGAACAAAUAAUGAAAAAUGUGCAAAUGCUCAAGAACUGGUACUUGCUGUACCAGGAAUAGGUACUUGCAUACUGAAGUUUUCAGAAGAACAAAUAACUGAAGCGAUUAUUCAUGAACAUGCGUAUUAAAGAAACAAGAACAGAAAAUUUUCAGUAGCACUUGUCAUUGGAAUUCAGAAGCAUUUAUCGCACAAAUUCAUAACUGGAGGUAAGUGAUGAGGCAGCAACGGAAUAAUGACCUCCUGCCAGCUCUCAAGUGGAAGAUGAUCCAUAGACAAGCAAAGUGCCAAGAUUCUGGAAGAACAAAAAAAUCAGUAUAAUUAAUUAGAUUCUGCUGCUAAGUGCCAAGUCUGAAGGAGGCCACCACACGGGAGCUUUCCUGAGAAGGAACAAAAAAAAUUAUCAGUAACAUGGUUUGGUUUACUAUGCCAACCAAGUAUCUCAUAUAACUGAGUAUACUUCUAUGGAAACUAAGCUCUUGUUUGACAAGUCCCAGCACCUGCUAUGCUAGAAAAUCAAGGAAUUUGUGCAAACGCCACAUAGCGCUGUUGCAACUUCUUACUACCAUAUUUAAAAUCCAAUGAGUUAUUAAUCAAAACUAAACCAUUUAAUCAAAGAAAAGUGGAAACAUUAAUUAAAGUAGCCUGCGUGGUUAUUAUACAAAUUACAGUCACCUACUUCAUUAAGGAAAUUACCGUUCUGCUCUAAAUAGUAUGCGCUUUAGAAUUCCUAUUUCCAAAUAUCUCUGUCAGCGUACUAAUCACCCAUUAGUGCAAUAGGUACUCGUGGGUCCAGAUUUUACCUUGGAUUAAAGGUGAUAUAAGGAGGAAACAUUGCGCAGGCACAUGACAGUAGAUGACUUAAUUAGGUAGUACUAAAACGACGCCUGUAGACAGACAGAUGUAACAAUGUCUGCCACAUUCCGAGCGGGUUAAAACUAGUGAGUAUCAACACUUAAAUGCUUAAAAGUAUUAUUUAUUUAUUUAAUCUGCCACCAAAGCACUAAUUACUUGGACAAAAAAGGAUUUCUAGUGAUAUAAAUAAAAUACUUCAUCUAUUCAAAAGCAAGACUGGAACCAGCUGUGUAGACCAUACGCAGCUGCUGAUACAAAAUUCAAAAGCAAGACUGGAACCAGCUGUGUAGACCAUACGCAACUGCUGAUACUUCAUCUAUUCUAGAUUGUGCGAUUAUUGAUUAGAAUUCCUUAACUAUACAUGUUUCAGUUCGAUCCAGAUCAACUGUAGAGCAUCACCAACCAAGACAGCUAAUGCUAAGCAGCCAUGAAGUGGUUUUUGCUCUCUUCACUGUGCGCAGUUGAGAAAUUUACCGACUAGCAGUACUAGAGCAAGUCAGCUCGACCAGCUGCAAAAGUAAAAAUUCCUGGUCUUCCAAGAAAUCAAUUGAGACCCAAGAACAUCUCGGUCGACUGAGAAUUAGCAUAGCAGCAACACCGCAGAAGUAAAACACGCACGCGGAAUAUAUGCCAUGUUACGAAAACCCCGAAUAGUAAGUAAUCUUGGGCACUAGUCAGGGGUUUGUCUGCACUGUUUGAUGUGCGUAGCUGCUAAACUUGCUGCCUGGCAUUGACUAGCGCGAGGCAGCUCGGCCAGCUGCAAGAACAAAAAGAGGACAAAUACUACCGGUGCUAGGAAUCGCACUGCCAUCAGCAAUCAGCGUCUACCUUACAGAUCUAAACAACCAGCGUCAAGUAAGUCCAAACAAUCGGCGUCUAGUCAUGCGAUGAUUCAGGCAUGCGAAACAGACACAGAUUAGGAUGGAUAUGAGAUGAGAGGGAACGGGUUACCUCGCACUGGGAGAAGAGGCUGGCCU